rnacentral:pre_miRNA from 14 species
AGGGGGACCGCCGGUGAGGCCUGGGUGUAUUCUACAGUGCAUGUGUCUCCAGUCAUAUAGAGGCACUGGGGAUACAGCUCUGUUGGAAUAACAAUCAGUGCCGCGUUCAGCGCUUUAUC